CAUGUGGGCCGAAUCUAGAAGAGAGCAAAAGACUCGUGUGUGUUCGACUCUGAGUCUCUGACGCACUCAUUUGUACAAAAAGCUCUCAGACUACAAAACCAAAUCCUUUCCGUUGAGUUUCAAGCUCACUCUCUCUCUCUCCAUCUGUCUCCCUUUUCUGUUACAGCCGUUAGAUCUCUUUCAUAUCUCUACUCUUGAUCCGACGGCCAUUAUCUAUUGUAUCAUAUCUUGUAGUGCAUGAUUAAAAUGAUUCACCAUUGUGUCUAUUUCCGUGUGGAUC